UUAAAAUGUUUUUUUUAGUCAGACACAAGCUAAACAGCAUAGAUUCGACGCACAGAGGCGCCGAAACACGUCUCGCUUCCACAGGUUUGAGGAUGAAGGACCCGGAGGCCUCUUAUCUUAUUAAUGAUCCCUCCGCAGGUUCACCUACGGAAA
rnacentral:misc_RNA from 1 species